rfam:Myotis lucifugus cont2.41788, whole genome shotgun sequence.
GGCGGUUCCCGGGUGACACACCCCAGAAUCGGGCUCCCUCCUCUCUGGUUCUGGGGUGCGUCACCUGAGAACCACC